GUUUUUGUAGUUAAAUUGGUGAAUAACUUUGGUUUUUCUAACCAAAAUUACCCCUUAGGGUCAAAAAUA
rnacentral:tRNA from 1 species